rnacentral:rRNA from 1 species
UACGGAGGGUGCGAGCGUUGUCCGGAAUCACUGGGCGUAAAGGGCGCGUAGGCGGCCUGAUAAGUAGGGGGUGAAAUCUUGCGGCUUAACCGCAAGGCUGCCUUCUAAACUGUCAGGCUAGAGCACAGUAGAGGCAGGUGGAAUUCCCGGUGUAGCGGUGGAAUGCGUAGAUAUCGCUUGGAACGCCAAAGGUGAAAACAGGUUGCUGGGGUUGUGCCGACGCUGAGACACGAAAGCCAGGGGAGCAAACGGG